GAUGAACGCUAGCGACAGGCUUAACACAUGCAAGUCGAGGGGCAGCGGGGUUGAAGCUUGCUUCAACUGCCGGCGACCGGCGCACGGGUGAGUAACACGUAUGCAACCUGCCCGUCACAGGGGAAUAACCGGAAGAAAUUCCGACUAAUUCCGCGUAACACUGUUAUCAGGCAUCUGGUGACCAGUCAAAGGAGAGAUCCGGUGACGGAUGGGCAUGCGGCGCAUUAGCUAGUCGGCGGGGUAACGGCCCACCGAGGCGACGAUGCGUAGGGGUUCUGAGAGGAAGGUCCCCCACACUGGUACUGAGACACGGACCAGACUCCUACGGGAGGCAGCAGUGGGGAAUAUUGGGCAAUGGGGCGCAAAGCCUGACCCAGCAACGCCGCGUGAAGGAAGAAGGUCUUCGGAUUGUAAACUUUUGUUGUCAGUGAAGAAAAAAGGACUGUAAACUGACGAGAAAAGCCCCGGCUAACUACGUG
rnacentral:rRNA from 1 species